AUGAGCACAGGGGUUCGAUCCCUGGCCUCGCUCAGUGGGUUAAGGAUCCAGUAUUGUGACUGCUGUGGUGCUGGUUCAAUCCCUGGCCUGGGAACUUCUGAAUGCCGUGGGAGGAAAAGGAUGGUAUUGCAGAAAAUACAGACCUACGGAGGAAUGAAGACUGCCAAACAUGGACAGAUGGCAUUGAAAGCAAAGAAGGAAGCCCCUGCCCCUUCCAAAGCUGAAGCCAAAGCCAAGGCCAAGAAAGCAGUGCUGAACAAUCCACAGCCACACAAAAAACGUUUGGUUGUCACCCACCUUCCCAAGUCCCAGAACACUGCAACUCAGAAGGCAGCCCAAAUAUCCUUGGAAGAGAGCCCCUGGGAGAAGCAGUCUUGACCACUCUGCCAUUAUCAAUUUCCCUCACCACCAAGUCAGCCUCGAAGAAGACGGAAGUCAACAACGUGCCUGUAUGCAUUGUGGAGGUCAAGGCCAACAAGCACCAGGCAGAAGAGGCUGUGAAGAAGCCCCAUGACAUUGCCUGGCUAAAGUCGACGCCUUGCUCAGGCCUAAUGGGGAGAAGAGGCAUAUGUUUGACUGGUUCCCAACUAUGAAGCUUUGGAUGUUGCCAACAAAGUUGGAAUCAUCUAAACUGAGUCCAGCUGGCUAAUUCUAAAUAUAAAAUUUCUCAUGGAGGAAAAAAAGGGAUACUAUGAACAAUUCACUCUGAGGACCCGGAGGAGGGACCGGGCAGCAGGGGAACAGUGACAUUUUACAUUUUGAAUUUCGUCCUGUGUGCACGAAUAGUGUGUUUAACCAAUAACUGACAAACACGUGAGCCCAGGCACACGUUGAAGGGAGGAAUCCGUGGUGGCCUAGCAGCUGGGGACUCAGCAUUGUCCCUGCUGUGGCUCCAGUUACUGCUGUGGCUCAGGUUCGGUUCCUGGCCCAGGAACUUCCCCAUCCCACAGGCGUGGCCAAAAAAAAGAAAAAGA
rnacentral:lncRNA from 1 species